rnacentral:rRNA from 1 species
CUCGAGGCCAGAUCUUUCCGGUUGAUCCUGCCGGACCUGACUGCUAUCGGAUUGAUACUAAGCCAUGCGAGUCUUUGUAGCAAUACAAGGCAGACGGCUCAGUAACACGUAGUCAAUCUACCCUAUGGACGGGGAUAACCUCGGGAAACUGAGAAUAAUACCAGAUAGAUCAUUAUGCCUGGAAUGGUUUAUGGUCGAAAUGAUUUAUCGCCGUAGGAUGGGACUGCGGUCUAUCAGCUUGUUGGUGAGGUAAUGGCCCACCAAGGCUAUAACAGAUACGGGCUCUGAGAGGAGAAGCCCGGAGAUGGGUACUGAGACACGGACCCAGGCCCUAUGGGGCGCAGCAGGCGAGAAAACUUUGCAAUGUGCGAAAGCACGACAAGGUUAAUCCGAGUGUUUUCUGCUAAAGAAAUCUUUUGUCAGUCCUAAAAACACUGAUGAAUAAGGGGUGGGCAAGUUCUGGUGUCAGCCGCCGCGGUAAAACCAGCACCUCAAGUGGUCAGGAGGAUUAUUGGGCCUAAAGCAUCCGUAGCCGGCCGUGUAAGUUUUCGGUUAAA